rnacentral:lncRNA from 1 species
UUUUUUUUUGUUUCUUUUUUAGCAUUAGCCAUCUGUCUAGAGGCCUGUUGGUUGCUGGGUGGUACUACCGCUGGUGGUGCGCGGUACUACCGCUUAUAAGCGGUACUACCGCCCACCAGCGCGGUACUACUGCUGCGGGGCGGGGGCAGGGGGUUAUAUCGGGGGUAGGGGGAGUUUUCUUCUCCCCCAUACCCAUUCGCUCGCCCCCUCGCUCCGUUUCGUCUCUCCAGCAACCAGUCGCCGCGGAAGGGCUCCGACGGAUCUCCUUCUCCGGGGCGUCCCUCUCCAUUCCCUUCGGUGGAAUCGAUCCCCACCUCGUCCUCUUGCCAUGGAUGCCAGUAUUGCCCCCGUUCCCUCUCUCUUCUUGUCUAGAUUUCCAAUCUAGCAUCUUAGGGGCAAUAGUGGUUGCAUAUCUAGAUUUUUGGCCAAAUCUAGGCUUGAGUAGGAUGGAGAAGGCAUCUAGGCAGUUUGGAUUAGUGGUUGGUAGAAGUAUUUUUGAAUUUGGUAGGACGGUAGUGCCGGAUCUGACCACGGCAGUGGGAAACCGUUGUUUCCCCGUCUCGAGCGGUACUACCGCUUGGAGCGGUACUGCCGCUUACAGGUCGCGGUACUACCGCUUACAGGUCGCGGUACUACCGCUUGCUACCCAGUUCCACCGUACUCUUACCAUUCAGUGAUCCUUUUGUUGUGUUUUGUGGCUUAUGCUCUCUCUUUCUGGUUGUUCUGCGUGUUCUUGUGUGUGGUUCCAGGUGAUGAACAUCCUGAGCAUCAGGCUUGCCGUGUCAACCCCGGUCGUGCCACAUCGAAGCGUUACCGCACUACUGAGUCUGCAGGAGGUUCCUCAAGUGCUCCACCUCCACCUCAACUCAAGAAGAAGUCUGCUGUCAAGCCGAAGAAAACUGGCAAAACCGUGCCGGAGAUGCAAGCCAAGGAGUUCUAGGCAAGGCGUCGCCGCAACCCCUAUGAGGCUGACCAAGAUCCCACUUUGGUCAACCGUCCGUUCUGGAACAUGUUUCAGUUUGCCAUUUUCUUUGAUGUGCUCAAGGCCAAGAAGAACCUCUAUGUCAAUGUGCGCUCCAUCGACACCGACUAUAUGGAGAAGGAUCCUGAGUACUUUGGUGAAACUCUUCAGAUGUGCACUCAACUGAACAUUCUCGGUAUCAUGUAAUUCAACAAAGAUUAUGAUCCUGAUAUUGUGGCCCAAUUCUAUGCCAAGGUUCAUCUCGGGACUGAUGAGGACAGGACACUGACUUGGAUGACCAAUGGCAAGUUGCUUUCUAUCAAGUGGAAGGCGUUCAUGGAGUUGCUUGGGGUGGAAGAUCACGGGCUUGCGUCUCCUGUCGGCUUUCGCCCUCACCGCAACACAACCUCCACUCACAAGAAAGCUCUCUGGCCCUAUUGCACGCUGAAGUCAACUCUGAGACUAAGAAGGAAACUUAUGAGCUGCCUGCCUUUCUGGAUAUUCUUCACCGUGUCUUCCGUGAGACUCUGUUCCCUCGCAUAGGGAAUCUGGAUAUGGUUCAUUCUUAUCUCGUGGACAUGCUUCUCUUCUGCCAGCGUGAGAAGAAAGAAAACACUGGCGAGUCCCUGGACAUCUCUCAUGUUAUGUGGUCUGAACUCCUAUCUGCCAUUUCUGAGCGUAAGUGCCCAAUCUAUGGUCCAUUCAUCAUGCUGCUUAUUGAGAAGGCCUGGGAUCGUGUCUAUCCCAAGGUUAUGCUAGAGACUGGAGAGUUGGUGUCUCAUGAGGUCAAGCGUCUGAGGAAGAAGGACAACUGGGGCACUCAGGUCCCUAAGUCUGGGGGUGCAUCGUCUGCUGCUGCCAUGGAGACCGAGGAGGAGGCUGAGGCUGAGGAUGAUGAUGACUAUGAGCCUUCUGGGGCAGAGCCCUCUUGGGAAAAGAAGCUCAAGCUCAAGGUAAAGAAGCUGUUCUGCAUGGAGUCUCACGGCCAGUACAUGACUCAUGUUGCUGAGAAGAAGGCCAGGGGUCGUCACAAGGAGCUCAUGCGUCAGAUGGGUGCUAUCGUUCUCAGUGGAUCUGAGGACCAGCUUAUUAAGGAGGAGGACUGGGUUCAGCAGCAUUGCCCGUGGACAGAUUCUGAUGCCGAGCAGUUCCCGACCAACGACGGUGGCGAAGACGAUCACACUGAGAUCUGAUGUUUGCGACCUUGCUAUCACCUGGAGCCGUAGCAACACUCCCUCUCUUUUUGGUGUCUCGAUGCCAAAGGGGGAGAGAGUUUAGGGAUUUGUGUCGUCGCUGUCUGUUUCGCAAGUGUGUCUUCUUUGUGGUGUGCGUUCUCGUUGUUUGCUUUGUUUGGUUUUGUGUCAGUGUGACCUAAGUUCCAGACAUAUGGUGUGAGACAUAUGCUACCUUAUCUCUAGAUUAUCUUUAUCUAUGUCUACCUAGCUUAUGAGUUGCAUGCUUAUCUUGUUAUACACUCUUUUCUCUCAUAUAUCUUGCUUAGGUUGUUGGUCUCCAAAAUGUAGGGGGAGCGUUGAUCCUAGUAUGUGUGAUGUGCAGUCCAAAGCACCUAUCUAGAUAAGCACACAUCUAGGGGGAGCUCAUCUACAUUUGUGAGUUGUGGGGUUUGCGCUUUCUUCCCGUGCAAAUCCCGUAUUGUCAUCAAUCCACCAAAAAGGGGGAGAUUGUAAAGGCAUAUUUAUCCCCAAGGUGUUUUGGUGAUUGAUGACAAUGCUUUUGCGGACUAAUUGUGUGCGUUGAGUUUUUCAGAGAUUCAUCCUUUGGCACGAGACGAUUACCUCCCCCAGGUGUUUUAUUCAAGACGGUGUAGCUCCUUCGUUUCUCUAUUGGUGGACUAGUUUCGUAGGAGUCACCGUACUAUCAAGAGGGGAUCCGCUUUGGUAAGGCUAUGGUGGAAUCAGCACGUACACAUCCUUAUCACACCCGAUGUUCCUUUCCGCUUCUUUGGAGCUACCUUUCCUCUCCUUGCCUGCCUUGACCUAUCCCAGCGGUAGUACCGUGGUCCUCAGCGGUAGUACCGCCGAAGCACGUCAAGCGGUAGUACCACUCCCCGAGCGGUAGUACCGCUUGCUGUCUUCGGCCAUAGUACCGCAGUGGUUCCAGGCUACUACCGCCUCGACUCGAGACCUCUGUUUUUCAUGUCGGGUUUUACGGUACUAGUAGCGGCAGUAGUGGCGGUAGUACCGCUCCAAGCGGUAGUACCGCCCGUACUUUCGCGGUAGUAUCGCUCUGGGCCCAGGACCCUGCUACCCCCGUGAGCGUGGUAGUACCGCUGGGAGGGAACGGUAGUACCGCUUGUUCAGCGGUAGUACCGCCCUGCCCAAGCGGUAGUACCGCUCUGUGUGUGGCUGCUUGGUGGGGUAAUGGUUGGAUUGUUUCCCCCAGUAUAUAAAGGUGUCUUAUUCCCCAAAGUUGACCCACCUCUUCCCCCAAAAGCUCCAUUGUUGCUCCAAGCUCCAUUUUUUCCCGAUCUCUCUCCCUAGCCAAUCAAACUUGUUGAUUUGCUCGGGAUUGGUUGAGAAGUCCCCGAUCUACACUUCCACCAAGAGAAAUUUGAUUCCCCCCACUAAUCCCUAGCGAAUCUUGUUACUCUUGGGUGUUUGAGCACCCUAGACGGUUGAGGUCACCUCGGAGCCAUAGUCCAUUGUGGUGAAGCUUCGUGGUGUCAUUGGGAGCCUCCAAUUAAGUUGUGGAGAUUGCCCCAACCUUGUUUGUAAAGGUUCGGUCGCCGCCUUCAAGGGCACCAAUAGUGGAAUCACGACAUCUCACAUUGUGUGAGGGCGUGAGGAGAAUACGGUGGCCCUAGUGGCUUCUUGGGGAGCAUUGUGCCUCCACACCGCUCUAACGGAGACGUACUUCCCUUUAAAAGGAAGGAACUUCGGUAACACAUCCUCGUCUCCACCGGAUCCACUCUUGGUUAUUUCGUGCCUUUACUUUUGCAAGCUUACUUGUGUUGUAUCCCUUGCUUGCUUAUGUGCUAGUUGUUAUUGCAUCAUAUAUGUUGCUCACGUAGUUGCAUAUCUAGACAACCUAUUUUGUUGCAAAGUUUAAAUUGGUAAAGAAAAGCUUAAAAAUUCUUAGUUGCCUAUUCACCCCCCCCCCUCUAGUCAACUAUAUCGAUCCUUUCACUCUGGAAGUUGGACCUGGAUUUGCUGCUGCUCUUCUCAUAGACUUGAGUUUCUCAGGCCUGCAUUUUUUCACAACUAUUUCCUCUCCACUGUCAACCUCUUUCUUCUCCUGCCAAAACUCUGAAACAUCACUGUCACCUUCAAACUGUGGUCUGUCUUCUACAUCAUCUCUUUCUUCUUCAUUUCCAAUAUUUUCUUCACCUCUCUUUCAAGCCUUGUAAGACAUCUUUAUCCCUCUAUAGUCACCCCUAUCAAUCUCAAAGUCUGAGGAUGAUUUGUCAAUAUCAUCAUCCUCUUCACAAGCAGCCUAUCCAUCAUCAUCUCCACCAUGAGCUUCCGAAAUGUUCAAGUUGCAGCUUUGUUGUGUGUUCAAAUUAACUUCAAGAGGGUGGACCACACUAUCUUGUGACAGACUUAACACAAAACCAGGACCCCCCACUGGACUGCCUAUUGGAAUUUGUUCUUCACAAACAUUGUGAGCCCUGUUACAUUCAACAUCUCUAUCUUCAUUUGCCUUGGAAACAAUGAUAUUGAGCACUAUGAAAUUUGAGUGGUCUAUCAUUUCUUCAACUGCAUCUUGACUGUCUAGAAGCAAUAAACCUUCCUAUCCAAUCCCUUGUUCUUUUACCCAGUACAUGUAGUCAUCUGACCCAUAGCCUUCAGUCUCAGUAAGUGCUAUCAAGUUCAGAAAAGUGAUGUCUGAAACAGAAAACCUCCUUUCCAUGUUAUCUCUGCCCUGGAAAUGCAGCCUAACCUCCCAAAUUUCAUCAUCCAGCCUGCAUUAUAUAAUAUGUUAUUUGAAAACCCCAACUAACUAAGUGUUUUUGGUACAAAAUUCAGUGCACACUAACUAUAAAGUACAGUAAGGAAUCUGAAUCCAACAAAUGCUUCUCUGAAUCCACCAUGCAUUUCUACUAAAUCUAACUAAUCCUUCGGUGCUAAAUGAUAUUGUUGCAUCCAAAACAUGCCACAGAGUGUUUGCUCAACUUUUAUUCAGUGCAUGUUCAUGUUCUAAGAUGAAUCACAGCAACAUCAACCUAGGGUUUGGUCAAAAAACUAACUAAAUUAUGCUAUGUUGUUUGAAAUGAACAAGCGGAAUUGCAGAAACUGUUGAAGGAGCUCAUAAGAGAAAAAUAAACUUACUCCACCCCUCCAAAUGCAAAGGCCCAGUGUUGGGAGUUGGCCGGAUCUGCCUGCACAGCGCUAGAAAGAGACCUCACUGCUCUGUACUCAAGCGAGAACUGGCAAUCAUCAGGCGACGACGGUGUAGCCUGUGGCGUAGGAGCCUGCAUCAGAGCUGCAACCUGUGGUGUCCGCUGCGGCGACGGCGGCGCCACCGGCUGGGUUGCAAAGCUACCACUCCCCAGCCAGUUGUCAACCUCUGAGUACUCGUCGCCUCCAUCCCCCCUUCCACCUCCACCCAUUGAAUGGCCGCCAUCGCCUGGUUUUGCCGCUGCCGACGCCAUCGGAGAGGGAGGCGUGCGCGAGCGAGAGGGAGACAGAGAGGGGGAAGACAAGAGUGAGGGCGGGUCGGAUCCGUCUUGACCUGGUCAGGACGGCUCGUGCGCCCUAACAGCCGGCACCUGCGCGCCGUGAGCACUGUGGCCGACAAAACCCUGACGGGCAGGCUCCACAUGUCAUAACCCCACUUAAAACGUAACCAUUCGGCCACUUGGGUUUUUUGGAGCAGUCCGCCAUUUUUGUGGUAGUUUUUUGGAAAAUUAAAAAAGGUAGUUUUUCGAAACGAUAGCCCGUAAUGUGGUAGUUUUUUGCUAUUCACUCCUCGAAGGGUCAGGUUCCUUGUGGUGAACCUACUCGUCCGGGUUCAAGACUUAGGCUUGGUAUGAUACUCACACUUUCUUGGAUUUAUUUCAUGAUUUGAUGGAUUUAUUCUUUCAAUGUAAGCGAUGUGCUCGUCGAUAGCACGACAUUUGUAGUGACUUUGUCAAUCUCAAGACAUCUCGGCUUGGAGGUGAUCAUAUGGAUAGUGAACCAUUUUGGAAAAAGAAGGGUAACUUAGAAACUAACAAGCCAGGUCGAGUUGGCAUUUUUAGCUUGUUAGGGAAACGAGUUUGACGAGUCAAGAAUUACAAGUACUCGGUGGGCUCUUUAUUAUCCUUAAGCCAAGGGCUAGAAAAGGCCAAGACUUUUAGGGCAAAAAAUGUCUUAGCACACAAGUCCAAGUAUCUGUAAUAUCCAUCGGGAACAAGCUGCAUUAGUUGUUGACUAGGCACAUAGCAGUGAUGCGAAAAUGCCUAGGUCAAGAAAGAGGGGCCCCUCCAAGCCACUCGUCUCCUUUGGUUUCUACUCCGCACUUCCACCCUUCAUCUACUCUUCCUUCCACGAUAAUUGAUUACAUUAUUAAAUUGCUUAACGAAUUUACCAAGCUUAUCUAGCCCAUUCAAAUAUUUAACGAGCUGAGCCAAGCAGGGGGUUUGAGCUCAUCAAAUCAAUGAGCUCGACUGAAAGGGUUGAAGAGGUUGACUAGAGGAGGCGAAUAGGAGACUAUGGACUUUAUCUUAAUUAUCAAUUUUAGAGAUGAUGUGUGGAUAAAGUAAGUUCUCUAGAUAUAUCUACGGGGAGAACAACAUAUAUGGCAAGCAAGCUAUAAUCAAGGUAAGCAACAACAACAAUCUAACAAGCUAACAAGCAUUAUAGGUAAGAGAAUAGUAAAGGUUAAACCACAUAAGAUGGAGACGCAAAUGUAUCCUGAAGUGACACUCUUUGGGGACUGCUAAUCUCCGUCGGAGAGGUGCCAAAGACAAAGCUCCGGAACUCCAAGCAGCUCACCCUAGUUUUCCUUCGAGUCACCCCCAACAGAUGAGUCUCAUAUCACUCGUGGUUGGUUGUGAAGGCGAUCACCGAACCUUCACAAACUUCCUGGAGCACACAACACACAAGGAAGCUUUCGGGCCUUGACUCCUACAGCCUAGGAAUCUCAUAUUUCGAAGAAAAGUAAACUUGGUGAUAUGAACAAGAGUGUUGGAUUAUUAAUUGGUAUGUGGAAGUGUAGAUAGGGUGAUCCAAUUUUAAUCCUAAAAGUUUGAUGGAGUUUGAGUGGAGAGAUCAAGAGUAAUCGAGCUUUUCAAGGUUGUUAAUGGAGCAACAGCUCAAAACCAAGGUUCGGGGCCACCCUCGGGGGACGUGCGCACGGAGUAACCCAUGCGCUAACCCUAGAUCUCGUGCACAUGGGGUGUGUCCAGAGAGAUUUAGCACCCCGACCCCAUGUGCAUGGCGUCAGAGGGGUCGUGCGCAUGGGGUGUCUAGAGACAUUUCCCUGGACCCCGUUCCACGGGGUACCCAACACAGGCCAUCUUGGGAGGGGUUUUAAUCCAUAUUUUUUGUGGUAGGAGUGGGUAGGCUUGGUAUAUAUAUUUUGCAUGAUCCCCAUCCUUAUGCAAUCAUCUCGACCCCUCUUAAUGUGAGGUUCUCCUAUGAUUGAAAAGAAACCAAAACAAAAUCUCUGAGUCUUCAGAAAAACUAAUGCCUUUUUUUUCUUUUGAAGUGGGGGAUCAAUCAUCUCCAUAUAUAAUCAUCGAGAGACCAAUGUACUGGAUAAACAUAGAAAUGGCAUUAGUCUCACAAAUCAUAUUGUAUUCAGCAUCAAAAUAUCAUUAGAGGAUAAAUGCACUUCCAUCAACUGGCUCACGACUAUUUAUGAGUCGACCGAGCUCGAUAUCCACCAUCCUUUACCACCAAUAGAUAUGGGCUAGGUUUUCUUAGUUUUAUCGGGAUUUUUUUUGUUUUGGAGUACUCCAAAUGUAGGAGAUAUAUAUUAAGUUCCAGUGAGAGAAGACUUUGACCAAGAAUUAUUUUAUCACGGUGGAGUUUAUAGGAUAAAAACUCACACUUAUUAGUAAGUACUAAGUAUCGAUGAAGCAAAAGCUAAUGAUACCAAUUUCAUGCCAUAUAAACCACAUAUUAACAAAAUAAUUUUGGGCCAAAGCCUUCCCUUAGUGAAAUCUAAUAUGCCCUACAUACAAGAAAUGCAGAAGUAUAACAUAACGUUUCACUAGAUGGUAACAAUGUUUCAUUGGUAUACAAGACUAUUUGAGACACUUGUAAAUAACAAAGGACAAGACUACAAUGUGAUGUCGCAUCAUAUAGUCUUCACAUGUGACACCAGUUCACUCUCUCACAUAUGCAUGCAUGAAUGGGAUAUAUCAAGAUACCACACAUGUAAGCAACAUAAUAAAACAAUAUAUCACAUAUGUAAGCAUGACAUCAACAACAGAAUUGUUUUUUAAUUUUCAAGAAAACAUAUAUUUCAAACCAUUAACCUGAUUGGCGAUUUAUUUCACGAUUGGCUUCAUUAUGACAAGAUCUUCAAAACUAGAUCUCGAGGAUGGCAUUUUUCUAUUAGUAGUUGCUAGGAUGUAUCGACCGACUUGCUAGGUCAUAUGCACAUUAUUGCCACUUGGUUGCCAUGUAGCAACUUGGUUACCAAGUUACUAGAUGUUACACUCCACCCCCGCAUAGGAUUUGCAUGAGUACACAUUUAUUGAUGCCAUCUCUUACUUGCACAUAAAUUUCAACACUCACGCUCUAGGCACAAUAUUGCAAUGCCUAGAAUAUAUUUAUAUAAUUUAUUACUAGAUAAUCAUACAACAUAUUAUAUGGUGACCUCAUUUUACAGUAUGGUUCAGAGUGGUAGGCCUCAUUUUGUAGUAUGGCACAUGGCCUUGCUUUUUCUCCAAGCAAAAACACGGCUAGUUCAGUGAGGCUACGGUGAUGCUCUCAUCUUGGCAUUAGUGACCCCUUCUCUGCCCUUCUCUCCGUAAAUCUUUCAUCAUGUUUUUCUAGACGUUCCUUUUUUCUGGUGACUCGUUUGGACCCACGGCCGAUGACAUUCUUGCAAGGUUGUGUUAUGCACGCAUGGCUAGCUUGAUCUCACACUAUUUCUCGACUGAGAUGGUCUGGAGACAUACCUGUAGGGAGAAGAAAUGUGUGAGAACAACAUAAAAUGUGUGAAAGUGGACAGGAGAUGGUUUAGAAAGUCCACUAAGACAAGAAAGCCACAGGAGGUGGGAGCAUAUCAAGGCCAAAUCUUUUCCAAAGGGUUGUAUAUAGCCUCAGCUCACUUGUAACAAUAUGUGAAAGCCUGCAAAAUAUAGCUCAUGUGGCAUUUGAUUCAUUAUGAAAUGGGAAUAUAUACAUUCAAUUAAACUUUUUAACCACCCUCAUUGACUGCAUAUAUUACUAUUUUGUUGUUAAGACAAGUUUUAAACCAAGAAUAGUCUUCAGGUCUACAUCGACGACUUUCGGCCGCUAUUUCGACGAGCUCCUAGGUUUCAACAAGGCUGCUCCGGUGAGAUGAAGGCUCAGAGGGGGCAAUGAGCUUUGCUAACGGCGUGCCGUCGAUGAAUGCAAAAGGAAGACGAUGCUGGUUUUUGCAAGGACUUGACUAUAAUUUCUUAUCUUUCUAAGGAAGUUCUUGUAAGGGUUGAUCUUAUUUAAUACUCCCUCCGUUUGGAAAUACUUGUCAUCAAAAUGGAUAAAAAAUGGUAUAUCUAGACGUAUUUUAGUUUUAGAUACAUCUCUUUUUAUCCAUUUUAAUGACAAGUAUUUUCGGACGGAGGGAGUAUAUGGUCUUUGGCCUUUUCAUUAAAAAAAAAGGUCAUGUGACAUGAAACUAGUACCACUAGAUUAAUUCGCUUUGAAAGUAUUUACAUUUUAUUGAAACACUAAAAGAUAUUGUACUACUUAUUUGCAAUAGUGAUUGCGCAUCACAUGAAUAAACAUACAUUACGGGAGUAGAUCUUUUUUUCUUUUGAACCGGAAUACUCUCUAUUCCAUUAGCCAGCACUACCAGCCAAAUCGCCGUUAAUCAUAGCGUGAACAAAGUCUAGCGCCCCAUCCGGCCACAAGGCUGACGAUGGAAGGGCCAUACGCACACUAUGAGCAGCUAAAGUAUCAGCUACUUUAUUUCAGCCUCUUGGGCAGAAAACUAUCUCAAAAUGAGAAAAUUUUAACCUAGCAAAGAUUUUAAUCUCUCUGAAGAUGGCACCAAUUGCAGAUUGGUCAUAGUUCCUUCCUUUCAUUGCAUGCAUUAACCUGCGAGCAGCCCGACAUUCAUAGUUGCAGAUUUUAAUCUCUCCCGAUUUCAACCUCCGAGCAGCCCGACAUUCUUCGGUGGCGAUGGACAGCGAAUGGCACAUACUCUGCAAAAACCUGCUACGACGCUCUCUUCCUCGGCUCUACCUCAUCCCCCACAUGCCGAGCUCACUUGGAAGACUUGGGCCCCCCUGAGCGUCAAGUUCUUCAUAUGGUUGGCCCUGCAGGACCGGUGCUGGACGAACGAGCGGCUCGCGCACCACUGACUGCCACAUAGCAGCGCCUGCGCACUCUGUGAUCAGGCCACUGAAUCUAUGCAGCACCUUUUGAUUGGCUGCUCCUUCUCUCGCAUGGUGUGGCACGACGUAUUCUCCAGGCUACGGCUCACCAGCAGCAUUCCCCUCGGCCACGAGCCCUUCUUCGACUGGUGGAAGGCAUCCACGUCAUCUGCCCCGCCCUUCUCUUCGUAAGGGCACGGCCUCCCUGGUGAUCAUCGUCGCCUGGACCCUCUGGAAGCACAGAAAUGCUUGCACCUUCGACGGCAUCCGCCCGUUAGUGACCGACGCCUCUCGAGCUGCUCUGGCCGAGGCAGCAACGUGGGCCACGGCUGGCGCAAAAGGACUGCACUCCUUUGUAUUUGAACCGCCUUGAUCGAACCCUAUAACUGUAACUUUGCGUAGCCCCGGCCACGAAUGUGUUGCUUAGCCAUGCGCAUGUAAACUCCUCUACCUAUCAAUGAAAUGAUACGCUCUAUGCGUAUUCGAGAAGAAAAAAAUUGCAUGCAUUAGGAUGGUGGAAUUCGUCUCAACGAUCACAGAGGACAUACCCAGCUGAUGUGCGGCUUGUUUUAGGCAGGCUACAGAUUUCAGUGUGUAGUGGGCCUUGGAUGUAAGGUAUAUUGCCUGAUCCAGCGGCAAUCGCUUGACCUCCAGAAUCUCGAAUGAUGAACCCGUAACCAUCAUUGACAUACAGGCACGCAUGCGUUUCCAAAUUGUAAUAGGCGACAGAUAAUUUUGUGAUGGACAAUCUCCUAACCGGGAGUAUUCAAGUAUGGCACGGUAAUAACACCACCGCAUAUGUUGGUAUAGUAGUAGGAUUGAAACGACGUCACUUUUGUCCUGAUAACUUUAUACCCCCUCCCCCAAAAAGCAAUUUCACUUGACUAAGAUAGCAAUUAUAGCAACCUGCAUGCUUUAUCAGAGAUCGAACCCUACACUGCACUAGAGGCCCAAUUGGCAAAAAGGUUACAAUAGUAAACAUAAGGUAAGCCUAUAUAUAAGCAUUAGUAGUAUUGAACAUCACAUAAAAGAAAAGCAAAAACACUGUGAUUAUAUAACAUUAAACGCAUAACAACCCUCGUCGACCAGGCAGCGACACAUACAGUUUCAGUCUCGCAGCCAACUUUCUCCAUGUAUGCUUUUGAGUUUGAACCCCAACCGGUUCUUUCGUUGCAGUGUGAUGUCUUGCGCCCUUUUUCUUUUCAUUUUUUGAAAUUUGUACAAACUUCUUACAUUUACAUAUGUAAACGGCGGUAGCAAAAAGGUAAAUGAAAAAUUGAUAUGGGGUCUCAAAGUGCAGCAAGAAAACAGCAAUGUAUACUCCAUUAAUUACUGUAUUGCUGCUUUUGCUUUCUGGGCCUUCGAAACAUCAUAUCAUUUUAACUUAAUUUUCGCAACCGACCAACUUUUCCAAGGCAAAGUUAAGAACGAUCGGAGAGCACACACGCGCGCGUCUAGUCCUGUGCUAUAUAAAGCCCCACUGCCAGGUCCAUUGCAUUGCAGCAAGCGCAACAAAGCGAAGCGAUCUGUGCUGGCCAGUGCUACUGCUACCGCUACCCAUCCGGGCAGAGAGGCUGCAAGAAGUAAAGAUGAGCCCCGGCCGGGCGGCCACGGGCGGCGAGCGGCGGAGCAUACGGGGCCUGUUCAAGUUCGCGGACCGGGUGGACGUGGUGCUCAUGGCCCUGGGCACGCUGGGCGCCAUCGGCGACGGCUGCUCCACCAACCUCCUCCUCAUCUUCGCCAGCGACGUGAUGAACUCGCUGGGGCGCGGCCACGCCCAGCAGCAGGGCAGCGCCACCAGCGUGCACUUCAUGCAUGACAUCGAGAAGGUAAGUUACUGUUGGAACACAUGAAUGAAUUUCAGGGGAAAUUCACUGGGAUUCACACUUCAGAAACAAAAACAAAACGGAACAGGCCUAAAUGCAUAGCACAUGGUUUUGUACACAUUUCACCAUUUCCCAGUGCCAGUUGCGCCUACACUAAGUUGUUGCCUCCAUUUUGCGUGGUGCAGUCGUGCCUGAACUUCGUCUACUUGGCGUUCGCCAUCCUGGUGGUGGCGUCCAUGGGUAAACCUUUUGAGUUUUUGCUGCUACAUAGAUUUGCAUAGCUUGCCAGAUUGUUUCAACAAGGGAUAAUACUAACUUGGUGUACCCCUAUGGACAUGGACGCACGCACGCAGAGGGGUACUGCUGGAGCCGGACGAGCGAGAGGCAGGUGCUCCGGAUCAGGCACCUGUACCUGGAGGCCAUCCUGCGGCAGGAGGUGGCCUUCUUCGACUCGCAGGAGGCCACCACCUCGGAGAUCAUCAACAGCAUCUCCAAGGACGCCUCACUCAUCCAGGAGGUGCUCAGCGAGAAGGUACCACCACACCAGUCAAGCCCCCUUGGUCUUGAUUGGUUAAUUUGCUUUUCAAUGACCUUGAUCAUACGGGUACACAAAGCGGACGCGCUAGCUAGUCUUCACAAGUCACGCACGCCUCGUUUUUAUAUUGUUGGAUCCAUCCAUCGGCAUGUAGAUUCGCCUUGGAACUUGGAACCUUCUUCCUUCUUGAUUCAUGUACUAGCAGUGGUUUGUUUAAGACGAACCAAGGACAGGAGAAAAGUCCCCUGUCAUGGUGGCACACCUACCUACCUUGCCACUCUAGGUCGUCACUGAAUCAGUGCUGAAUCUAAUUGUUUGACUAGUUAAUGCUACCCAACCGCAGAAUCAGGAGAGAUAGAGAGAUUAGUACAUAUAUCUUGUUCUAAGAACAUGCAAAUGAAACAAUGAUGCUAGUACAAGCAUAUUCUUGCUUCUGUGAUUAGUACUAGUAGUAUCUACCUUAAGCUCUCUAGAUUCACACACCUUAAAGGUAGACCAAGAGAGGGAAUAUGGGAGCAAAUGAGAGUUCCGUAUGUGACAAAGCAUGGAAUGUUGACAUAGUUGAUAGUUCCUAUAAUAACGACUGCAUUAAAAUGACUCCAAAAAUAAACAUAUCUUAGCUGGAGCCAUUGAGACAGAACCUUUGUGCCGUGGUAAAUUUUGGUAACACCGACGUGGUAAAAAUAAUUUUGGAAAAUGGACAAUAAGAACUAGAUCUGGAAUGUGAAAAGAAAUAAUAGCAGAACUGACCGUUUUCCUCGAUUAUUUUACCUUGAACAGGUUCCUCUGUUUCUGAUGCACUCCACGGUCUUCGUCUCCGGGCUCGCCUUCUCCACCUAUUUCUCCUGGAGGCUGGCUCUGGUUUCCUACCCUCUGGUCCUGCUCCUCAUAAUCCCUGGUCUCAUCUACGGGAAGUACCUUCUGUACCUCUCCCGUGAGUCGCGCCACGAGUACGCCAAGGCAAACUCCCUCGUGGAGCAAGCACUCGGCUCCAUCAAGACCGUUUACUCCUUCACUGCAGAGAAAGGGAUCAUCCAGAGGUACACGGCAAUACUCGACAAGACCAUCAACCUGGGGAUCAAGCAGGGCAUUGCCAAAGGCCUCGCUGUCGGAUUCACCGGUCUCUCUUUCGCCAUUUGGGCCUUCCUCGCCUGGUAUGGCAGCCGGUUGGUGAUGUACCAUCAUGAAAGCGGAGGAAGGAUAUACGCCGCAGGAAUCUCCUUUGUUCUGGGUGGCCUGUAUGUUCUUCAUGUCCCUCCUCCCUUACUGACUUUUGGUUAUGUAAUAGAAGCUUAACUAUACAAAAAACUGAAAUGUUGUUGCAGAUCCCUUGGAAUGGCACUCCCGGAGCUGAAACAUUUCAUUGAGGCCUCGGUUGCUGCCACGAGAAUUCUCGAACGGAUCAACCGUGUGCCCCAGAUCAACGACGAUGAUCCAAAGGGGCUUGUUUUGGAUCAAGUCCGUGGAGAGAUCGAGUUUGAAUCCAUCCACUUUGUGUACCCAUCCAGGCCUAAUAUGACGGUCCUUAAAGACUUCAACCUCCAGAUUCCUGCUGGCCAAACAAUUGCUUUGGUCGGCUCAAGUGGCAGCGGCAAGUCUACCGCAAUAGCACUGGUGCAGCGCUUUUACGAUGCCAGUGAAGGAACUGUCAAGAUCGACGGUGUCGACAUCAAGAAACUUAAUCUCAAGUCGAUUAGGAGCAAGAUGGGACUUGUCAGCCAAGACCAUGCACUGUUCGGCACAUCCAUAAAAGAGAACAUCUUAUUCGGCAAACCAGAUGCAACCUUGGAUGAACUCUAUGCAGCAGCCAUGACAGCGAAUGCUCACAACUUCAUAAUGGGGCUUCCUGAGGGAUACGAGACUAAGGUAUGUUCAUCAUAAGGAAAACAUUCAGGUGCCUUAAUAACCUGUCUCCCUUGCCUUAUUGGUGAUUUCACUGUACUUGCAGAUUGGUGAGCGCGGAGCAUUGCUAUCAGGUGGCCAGAAACAGCGCAUUGCCAUUGCAAGGGCGGUCCUCAAGAACCCUGCUAUACUUUUGCUCGAUGAAGCCACAAGCGCACUUGACUCAGAGUCGGAGAAGCUAGUGCAGCAUGCACUUGAUCAAGCAUCUAUGGGAAGAACAACACUGGUAUAUUAACUACCUCGGCUCUUCCUACUUUAUAAUGCUAAGCUUAGGAUUUCCUGAAUCCUUUGGCACUGUAGCACUCAUUAUUUAUACCUUAAUACUGACCAGGUCGUAGCUCACAAGCUUUCAACCGUGAAGAAUGCCGAUCAAAUCGCGGUAGUCGAUGGGGGUAGCAUAGCUGAAAUUGGGACACAUGAUGAGCUGAUCAACAAGGGUGGCCCAUACUCACGACUUGUGAAAUUGCAGAAGAUGGUGAGCUACAUAGAUCAAGAAACUGACCAAUUUAGGGCCUCCUCAGCAGCAAGGACCAGUGCCAGCCGUCUCAGCAUGUCCAGAGCAAGUCCCAUGCCACUCACACCAGGUGUUUCAAAGGAAACCGAGUCAUAUGUUUCCCCACCUGCACCGUCUUUCUCCAGGCUUCUUGCAAUGAAUGCACCAGAGUGGAAGCAAGCACUCAUAGGCAGUAUCUCUGCAUUGGUGUAUGGUUCCUUGCAGCCCAUCUAUGCUCUAACCAUCGGAGGAAUGAUUGCUGCAUUCUUUGUUCAGGACCACAAUGAGAUGAAUGCAAUCAUCAGCCGCUAUGCAUUGAUCUUUUGCUCACUGUCCCUGGUAUCCAUUGCUGUUAAUCUAUUGCAACACUACAAUUUUGCCUACAUGGGGGAGCAUCUUGUUAGGCGUAUCCGAGUCCAAGUGCUGGAGAAGAUCUUAACCUUUGAGGCAGCAUGGUUUGAUGAGGACACAAAUUCAAGUGGCUCGUUGUGCUCUCGGCUAAGUGACGAGUCUUCUCUUGUCAAAACCCUUGUCGCAGACAGGAUCUCCCUGCUUCUUCAAACAGCCUGUGGAAUUGUGAUUGCGGUGACAAUGGGACUCAUAGUAGCAUGGAAACUUGCCCUUGUCAUGAUUGCUGUACAGCCCUGCACGAUGAUAUGCUACUAUGCCAAGAAGAUAGUUCUUUCAAAUGUGUCAAGGGACUUGGCAAAGGCUCAGUAUGAAAGUACUCAGAUUGCCAUAGAAGCUGUUUACAACCACAGGAUGGUGACCUCAUUUGGAUGUUCAUCGAAGAUUCUUCAGCUCUUCGAGCAUACACAAGAGGAACCAUUGAGGAAAGCAAGGAAGAAGUCAUGGGUAGCAGGGAUAACCACAGGGCUGUCGCCGUGCCUCACAUUCUUAUCAUGGGCAUUGGACUUCUGGUAUGGUGGGAAAUUGGCACAGUCCGGGGAGAUCUCAGCAGGUGAUGUCUUCAAAACCUUCUUCGUCUUGGUGAGCACAGGAAAGCUGAUUGCUGAUGCUGGCAGCAUGACAUCUGACCUGGCAAAGGGAUCAAAUGCCGUUGCUUCAGUUUUCGAGGUGCUAGAUAGGAAAUCUAUCUCUCCGCAAAAUUCACAGGUAACACAUCCAUACUCUCAUGAGCAUUGUAUGGAAUAAAAAUCAGCAGCCUCGCAGAAAAUAAUGAUUUUUAGGAUGCUAGAUUGCUGUAAGAUAAAAUACUAACAUGGCUACACUGCAGAUGGAAAAGGACAAUCCGAAGAGCAAAAUACAAGGACGGAUAGAGUUCAAGAAGGUGGAUUUUGCAUAUCCAACAAGACCACAAUGCCUGAUCCUGCAAGAUUUUAGCUUGGACGUCAAAGCAGGAACAAGUAUUGGCCUGGUGGGGAGAAGUGGAUGUGGUAAAUCCACGAUCAUAGGUUUGAUCCAGAGGUUCUAUGAUGUUGAUAGAGGUGCUGUAAGGAUCGAUGGUAUGGAUGUGAGGGAGAUGAAUGUUCUUUGGUAUCGAGGAUUCACCGCUCUAGUUAGUCAGGAGCCUGCAAUGUUUUCUGGCAGUGUCAGGGACAACAUUGCCUUUGGUAAACCAGAAGCUGAUGAAGAAGAGAUUGUCGAAGCUGCUAAAGCCGCAAAUGCGCAUGAAUUCAUCUCGUAAGUCUUAGAUAUAUUACCCGCUUGCAUAUAUAUUAAGCUAUGUACUCACAGUAUCCAACAUAUGAAACUUACAGCUUACGCCUUUUCAGAUCUCUGAAGGACGGAUAUGACACUGAUUGUGGGGAGCACGGAAUACAACUAUCAGGAGGACAGAAGCAAAGAAUUGCAAUUGCGAGGGCAAUAAUCCGAAAUCCAGCUAUACUACUUCUUGAUGAAGCAACAAGUGCUCUCGAUGCACAGUCCGAGCAAGUGGUGCAGGAAGCACUUGAUCGGAUCAUGACAGGGAGGACCACAAUCGUAGUGGCACAUCGACUAAACACAAUCAAGAAUGCAGACUCAAUAGCCUUCUUAGGAGAGGGCAAGGUGAUUGAGCGUGGUACUUACCCACAACUCAUGAACAAGAAGGGAGCAUUCUUUAACCUGGCAACCCUUCAGAAAUAAAUUGAUUGUAUAAUGUAACUGCGGCAAUAAGUGAUAUCAUAGCCCAAUAUAGUAUAAUAUCAGCACUCCUUGACAAAUUUUGGAGCAAUUCUCGAUCAUCAGCUUAAUUUAGGAAGUGUUACUAAAACAAAAGAAAACAAGGAGGAGUAUGUGCACUAAUGUUGUUCUCCUCUCCUGAUAACAUGCUGCGGAUUUUAAGUUGUAACACGAUGCUAAAGGAUUACAACAGAGUGGAACAUAGCCAAAAGAAGGAAUACCUACAACUGAACAUGGCCAUCUCUCCACUAUUACUUGAAAAUGAUAUUUAGGAGUCUUCCUUUGGAUAUCUCGAUCUCCUUCCUCAAGUUAUCCAUCUCUACCUUGACCAAUGCAUCGACAUCAAUUAAUCGAAGUUCAUCAGAGGCUAGCCGCUCUUUUACUUCGGCAAGAACCUGCUUAUAGCUCUUUAGAACCGUCUUAACCCUUACUCUUUCCAUUAAAGACUUCUGUACUAAGCUCUCAUGCUCAGCAACUUGAUGCACCAAUUUCUGUAUUUCAUCCUCCAUCAUCAUGGACUGCUGCAAGCCUUUGAUCUCAUCCUGAAGGGCAUGCAAUUUUUUCUUCUGUUCUUGCGAUGUCGAGACAGCGAUGUUACCAUCACAUGUUACUUUCUUGUAAUCAAAUUCCAAGGAAGUGCAUGCGCUUUCCAGUUCUUUGAGCUGCCACUUCAGCUGAUCUUGUAGCUUUGUGGAAAACUCUUCCUUCCGGCUCUCCAUAUUGAAAUUGUGAAUCUCCUUGAUUUUUUUAGCAUGCUCCAGUAAUGCAAUCACUACCCUUUGAGCAUCAACAUCCUGAAGACAUGAAUCCCACUUAAGAAUUUCUUUCUGCACAACAGCUUCAAUUAUAGCCGCACAAUGUAGGUCUGAAGGAGAACUGCAAAUGAUUCCCUGAACGUGUGUGAUGGUCUUCAUAAAGUUGUCACGUUGAAUAUGAAGUAACACAGUUUCGAGGGAAUUGGUGUGUACUGAGGGCUUCCAUGUCAAACUUAACUCAUUUAUUAUCAUAGAUGACAACUUGGACUUGGUCGGCGGUGACGAGUCUAUCCAAUCCCUCCCCAUGAACAACUCAGAACUCUCUGCAGCAUUUCUAUCGACUUGCUCUUCAAAGAUUUCUCCAUUAUUUCCUUGAUCUAUUUUCUCCUCAUUUUCUUGAUUAUGCUGAGGUUUCUUACUUAGGCUCACCUCACCUCGUGUUCGUUUGAGUCUCUUGAAGUCUUGAGAUAAGGAACCUACAAAGGCACAAAUUGGUUUAACUGCAGUAUAAGGUGUUAGAAGGCAGUUGUGAGUUCUGAUUAAGAAGAGACCAAGAAUACCUAUAGCAUGCUGGCGAUCUCCUUUCAAAACAUGCUCUGGUUUCUCGUAGAGUAAACACGCAUGCCCUGCUCUGUGCUCCACCUGAUCAAUUCUACUGGAUGGUGAUGAUUCUAACACUUCAGGUUUUUCUUUCAAUCCACUAUCUAUGCUGCCACCGGAAUUCUUCAAGUGUGCCAGUCGUGGUGAUCUUCGUGGUGUUUCAGAAAUUUGCUGUGAUCGCGACUUGACUAUUCUCCUCUUCUGUUUGUACGACAAAUCACAUAACUCAUGGUCGUCAACUAGCUUGCUCUUCACUGCUGGCAGGUAAAUUUGUAGUGCCUGAGUCGACAAGUUAGGCUCCUCAAGACUGCUCUCCCUGCUAUCACAUAUUUGAGGAGGACAAUCAUCCCCUGUGGGGAAGAAGUGUCGUAGUUCCCUCUUUAUAAAAUCAACUGAUCAAUAAAAAAAGAUGUGUUUCAACAUGCUAGAUGCAAAAAUGAUAGAAAAUGAGGCAAUAGAAGUACUUACGUUGCAGAACAAGUUUCUGCUUUAGAAACUGGUUCGGAAUUUGUGGUUUGCCUCUACAUGUGUUCAAAACCUCUGCAGCUGCAUCUGAGUCCCACUUAUACAAACAGAGUGUAGCACAGAAUAAGUCAACUGUAGCUCUGUCAACAUGCAAUCUGCUCAUUACUUCAGCUAUUACUUUAGCUUUAUCAUCAUCCAUUGGCACCUUCAACAAUAAGUAUAUCUUUAACUCGUCCUUCAAACCAUCUACUUCAUGAAGAUGUAUGUCAGCGAAGCUCUGUGGAGAGAUAUGUCCAUUACCCUGAGUACUCCCUUGGAAGGGAAAUAUCUAAAAAUUAAUAUAAAUUAUCAGUUCAAGGAGACACAAAUUUUAAGCCUCUGCUCCUCUGCACACCCAAUGUGAGGCAUGUGAAAAAAAAAUGACUUUAGGACCUUCUAACUUGACAUGAAAAAAUAGAUCUUCUGAUCCCUAAGCUUCCCGAGUUGAAGAUAAUUUCAAAAAAAAAUUGUUUUACAGAUGAUAAUGUGUUCUAUAUAUGAUUCCAAAAUAAACUUGUGAACAGAUUUGCGCAUAAAACUUAUCUAAACUAUUUGAAAAACAAAGUGACUCCAUACGAACAAGAGAGUAGGCAAAAUGUAGAGAGAAAAAUGUGGCUUGUACGAAAAUUACUUAAUUAUUUGCUCAAGAUUAGAAUAAAAGAUUACUUUUGUAUCAGAUUGAUCUGGUACCAUAACCAGUGAGUGACUCUGCCUGAGAUUAUUGGUGGUCUUCGUUAGUUCAUCACCACUAUGUCCUCGCUUACAAGUGGGGAGUAUCCUUUCUAGACUUUCAGUAGCACUUCCUGAAGACCGGACUGCUUUCUCACAAGCAUUCCGACCAAAAAUCGAAACCAUGAAAUCCAUUUUCUUGUCAUGUCUGAAGAGUAGGAACUCAUAUUCCCUCAAAGAAUUGUCCACCACAAACUUGGGCCAUCCGGUGGUCAGAAAUACACAGCGGUCAACCUUCUCUAGCUCAACAACCCAAGUCUUCCCUUCUGGACGCUUAAGCAUGGCUUGAACAGGUGAAAUGUUGGAACCCCUGAGGCCCACCUCUGGAAUGUAACCGAGGAAGUCUCGAGGUAUCUCCUACAUGUGGAAGCAAACAAGGUUAGGGCAUACCUUAAGCCAUGAAAUAGAGAGUCAAGAUGCAAAUGCAGCAUGCACUCUUGUUUAAUCAUUGAAAACCAAAAGUGUAUGCUCACAAUGUGAAGCUUUACUUCCACAUUUGCAGAACACGCAUGCAGAGGGAAAUAAAUGUAGUAUUCACCAGCCGACUUUUUUUUCCCGGUAAAUGGGUGGAUUUUAUUGGGUUAAAAUGGAACAUCAAGGGAGGAUACAAACACAAUGAGCCCGACUCUUUCUUGGCCUAGCCUAUCAGACAUUGACACAUUGCUCUGUUUUCUAGGAAAGAUGGCGUUUAUGCAUAAACAAGCACGCCCUUUGAAGCUUCGAACCACCUGCACUGCAUCGCGUCCAGUUAAAAAUGUUACAAAUCGCACGCAUGCGCAUGCAAACAUGUUUUUUUUUAGGAAGACGCACAUGCAACCAUGGGAUUCCUUUCUUUAUCUGAAAUAACAGCCAUGGACUUCAAUAUGAAGCAUCCAAUCCACAAAAGAAGAUUAGAUAGUAUAGGAUUUAGCACUCCACCACCUAUCGGAUAGCACGUUUGCCGAUAGCGCAAACGCAAUGCGAGGAUCUUGGAGCAGGAACAGCUACUGCGGGAUGGGGGGACAGUGCCAAGUGGAGCAGGGAACCCAGCCCAAUCGCGUUCUUGGCUUGGUCCUAUUUUUUGCCCUUUCUGAUGAAGGGGAGCAAAAGGCGCGCGCAUGCAACCAGCGCAACAACUGAAACUGAAAGAAAGGAGGGAAGGGGGAGGAAGGAAUAAUACGCACGAGGCGACGGGCGAAGUCGCCGACGAGGACCUUGAAGAAGCGAGGCCUCCCCUCCUCGUCUUCUUCCAUGGCGGAUCCCGCAGAUCGAUCCCCGUUCGUGUUCAUCCCUCCUCUCGCUCCGUCCGUCGCUCGAGGUGGGGUGGUUGGCUGGUAGUGGUGUGAUGGAUGGAGAGUGACCUCGGCAGAAUCGCCGCCGCUUCUCCGGCCCUGUCGAAGGCGGAAAGCGAUCCUUCUUUAUUGCCUGCCACCUGGCGUCUGGUUCGGGGCGUGAUGGAGGGAGCACGCCUACACGGCUUGUCAGGCCUGGAAACGGCUGCAUACACACAUCCGUAGGGCACGGUCCAGGCAGGCUAUACAGCCAGGUAGGAGUAGAUCAGUAAGGCUGGUCAUAGUGGGGAGUAACUUAGACUAGUAACAUACAUAUGUUACUAGUCUAUGUUACUACCUUCAUAGUGGGUAGUAUCAUAGGUGUGGUAACAUAUUUGCCUUCAUUUAUUACUUUGUAGACUCAUUAUGCAUUGGAAACCGCUAUGUGAUGGUAACAUAUUAUGUUACUCUAUUUGCCUCUCUCCUCAUUAACUACUUGUCACAUCAUCAUUUUUGCUUAUGUGGCAUCUAUGUUACUACCUAUGCUACUCCCACUAUGACCAGCCUAAGACUGGCCACAGUGGGAGUAACUUCAGCAGUAACAUCGAGUCCAACUCAGCAAAUUUGUUUAUGUGGCAGUGAAUUAAUGAGGAGAGAGGUAGUUAUAGUAACUUAGCUAGUUACUGUAACAUCACAUGUCCCAAUGCAAUAUGAGUCUAUAACUUAAUAAAUGAAGCUUUGCAUGUUACCACAUUUAUGUUAGGCCAACUCCACUGCGCGACCCCAAACGGACGUCCAUUUUGUCUGGAUUCUGUCCGUAUGGGUAGGAAUUUAGGGUCGUGUCCGGGCCUGUCCUGGGAUGCGGUGGCGUGCGCCCAGCGCGCGGCUGCAUCCAUUUGCCCCAUCCUGUUCGCGUAUAUUUCUUUACAAGUCCAACUUUAUUUCAUCAUUCAUUUGUGGUACAUAAAAAAUACAUCAUCAUAUUUUGACUAAUAAAGCAAGGCCAAAAAAAAUAAGAACCACAAAAAUACAUUUGAGAAGAUACCCAACUUCCAUAACUGCUCCCUUGAGUUGGGUUAGGGCCUUCUCGAUGCACUCAUUGUUGAUCUGUGGAGGAGGCACGACGUUGCACCCUCCUUUCUUCUUCAAGCCAGAAGCCGACGUUGCUUCCUCACACGUAGUAUCGUGCCUUGUUGCUUCUUCGCACAUAGUAUCAUGCCUAGCCUCUAAUCUAGCAACAAGUGCACUUAUCUCAUCUAAAGCCUCUAGGCUAGCUAAAAGUGCACGAACAUGCACUACAUUUCGCUCUAUCAACAUAUCGAUGUACUCUUCUUCCCAAUACCAAAACUUGCAUCCGUUCUGCACAAUAAAACUUAAAGUUAGCACCACUAGUCUAAUCGAAGAGCACAAACCGAAGCUAAAAAGAGCACAUACCCCAUCGUUUAAGCACUUGAUGAACACCCAUCCGGGAUGCUCCGGCGUCGUAGACACGCGGCGCACGACCACCUUUGGGCAGUGGUCGCACUUGAUGAGGAGCAACGGUGCGCCGACGAGCUUUUGGGCAAGAACCGAGCCCGGCCGGCCGCCAUUCGCGUAUCUGCCGACGGACCAUCGACGAUGCAGAUCCAAGCAGCUAGAGGACGAGCCACUGCCUGCAUGUGGCCUUGCGGCCCUGCCAGGGCCUUCCGGCAAGGUGCCCGGCCAGUCCAUGGCGCGGCCCGACCUCCCACAACUGGGCAAGCUCAAGACCGACCGGAUCCGCCCCAAUCCGGCCGGCGGGUGCGCAAACAAGGUGGCCGUGCUUGGGUAGCUCGGCGGCGACGAGAGGAAGGGGCUGGGCAAGCGCGCGUCCGAGUUGCACGGCUGCAAUGGCAGCAGGCGGGCGGUCGGCGGCGGCGAGGGGAAGAGAGGGGGAAAGUGGGGAAGAGUAGAGUGGAUGCGGCCGGAGGGAGGGAGGGGGCGGAUAGAAAAAGGCCCGUCCUGUGCCUCCGACGGGCGGGCCAGGGGAAGACACACGCAAACGACCCGCGCGUCCGCGUGGUGUCCGUUUCACCCCAAAAGCGGCGCAAACUUGGGCCGCGGAUGGGUCGAAAGCGGACACAAAGCGGACAAAAGUCCGUUUGCGCCCACGCGCUCGGCCGUCUCGUUUGUCCCUUUUACCCCAAACGGACAGGGGCGGACAGGAUAAGGUCGCAUGGUGGAAUUGGCCUUACUCCCCACUAUGAAAGUAGUAUCAUAGUCUAGAGAUAUAUGUAUAUUACUAGUGUAUGUUACUCACCAUUGUGGCUAGUCUAAACCACGGUGUGAAAUCACGCUCACCCAACGUGGCCGUGCUGUUUGGUCGGGCAAUGAAGUGAAAGGUAAGAGCAUCUCCAGCCGUUCGCCCCCCGAGCGGUGAAAAAAAGCCGUCUGGAAACGAACCGCCGUUAGUUUGGCGCGUGGGUGCGACUCCGUUUCCAGUCGUCGCUAUUAGUUCGCUGCGAGUUUGGCAAAAUUACGUGCAAACAUGUGCAAACUCGGUGAUCUGAUACGAACUCAGUGAAAUUUCAUUAAAAUCUGUACAAAAAAGGAAAAACACUACGGCAAACUACCCUAGCCACUACGCCGUCCAUCAUCCGCCAUCUUCAUGACGAGAAGCCUGUAGAAGCGGGUGUAGUCGCCGCCAUCGUCAUCGUUGCGCGCCCCGCCGGAGCCCCCCCCCCCAUCCCUGCUGCACCCCUGCCCAGAGUCGCCGAUGCGCGACGACGCUCUGGACGACCCGGUCUCGUCCUCAUCGUCGUUGUCGAGGACGAUGAUGCCGCCCUCCUCGCGGCUGUGUUGCCUGGCCGAGCGCCGAGCCUGGAGCUCCGCGUACGCCUGGCGUUGGCGGCGCACCUACUCGCGGACGUAGUCCUUCUUCGUCCAUUUCAGGGCGGCCUCGUCGUCGGGGGCGACCAUGUCGACGUGCUCCGGCAUCAGGGGGAGCAGGCCAGGCUCGGGCUUUGGCCGAACCAGGCGAAGGGAGCGCGGGGAGGGACGGGCACCCUCGUUGAUGACGAGGGCGCCGAUAUGGGUGCGGCGCUGCUGCGGUGUCUCCUCCGGCUCGGGCUUGACGGGACGGAGAGCCGGCGAGCCAGAGAGAGCGAGCCGGAGCCCGACGACGAGGACGUCGGCUCCAUUCGCCACGGCAUCCAGGAACUGUCGCGGCGGCGAGAGAAGGACGGCCGCGCCGGGUACUCGAGUCGCGGCACAUGCUGGUCUCGAUGUGGUCGAGGACGGCCUCGAGGGUGUAGCCGGCAACGCCCCACCACUCGCGCCGUCCUUCGGCAUUGUGGCGGCCGCGGGGAAUGACAUCAUUGACGGAGGCGAUCUGCUCCUCACGGCGGCGCUCGAAGUACAUCGUCCACAACGUUUCGCUGUCAGGCGCGUACCUUGGCUCGUUCCGCUGUUCCUCCGUCAGGGAAGAGCGGAUGCGGGCGAUCUCCGCCUGCCGUGCCGCCCCUUCGGGCACCGGUGGCACCGGGACACCCCCGGCACGCGCCUGUCGGGGGGGGGGGGGCGCCGGGCACUCGACCUCGUAGAGGAGCCGCGCCUCCGGCUCUUGGAGGUGGCGAUGGCCGAAGCCGUUCGCCUUCGCGCCGUCGCCUGUAAACCUCUCGGCCAUCUUUGCUCGUCAGCAGAAAGGGGGAGAGGGAUGCUUUUGCGAGGCGGAUGCAGGGGAGGUUGUGGCGUUCACCGGCGGGGAUGGGUCGCCAUUUAUAGCCCCAGCUGGGCGGGAGGAGGCUUCAUGUAGGCGACGCGUGGCGGGAGCGGGUGGGACGUGCGUCGGCGCCGCCUUUACUGCGUCGCCUGUGAGGCAUCAAUGGAGGCUGGCCGCGCGCGGCAGCCUUGGCCAGCCUUGGCAUUGAUUCCCGCAAGAACCGAGGCGAUGAGGGCGACGAAGCCGUGUCUCGCUGACUAGGCGGGCCCGCCCCCGUUCACGCCAAAAUUGCUCGCUCGGCGCCCCCGGGCGCCCCCAGCGCGCCGGGUUCGGCUUGGGUCCGCCGGCGCUAAUUUCGGCCCAAACCGGCGAAAAAUGGGCUCCUGGGGGCACGACUGGCCGUUUUUUCGGCGCCGGCGCGAAGAAAUCGUCUGGGGGCGUGUUGGGGGCUCGGUUGGAGAUGCUCUAAGGCCAACUCCAGCGCACGACCCCAAUCGUACGUCCGGUUUGGCCAGAUUUCGUCUCUUUGGGAAUGGGUUCGCCCACAUCCGCUUCUGUUCGUUGGGUUUUCGGCGUGCCCAGCGCGUGACCGCAACCCAAAUCAUGUCCGGGGUGGACGUGAUUAAAAAACAGAAAAACUAAAAUAAAUGCCAAAAAAGUAAAUAAACACAAAUAUAAAAACAUAAAACAUAAAUUAACCAUCACGGCCACAAAACGGCCCGGUUCCACGGUUCACAUUGACAUAAUUAACAUAAAAAACAAAAAAAAAGUUGUCCGCAUGCUCCUGUCGUGGCUGUCGCCGUCUUCAGUGGCCGUCAUUGUCGUCGUCCUCGCUGACGAGCUCGACAUACUCCGGCGGCGUCCAGAGGUGGGACGGCGGCGCGUGGUACACGAGGACGGGUUGGAAGGCCGGAGGUGCAUACACUAUUCUCCUUUCCAUUUAUUUUCCAAAAUCGAUUGUUGUCUCACAGUUGAUGUGAGCUAUUAUGCUAUAAUCACUACUAGAAGGGUUAGGUGCGCUUUGAUGCGCCGUUGAUGUUGUUGAGUUUCUUUAAAACAUUACUCAUUCUGUUUCAAAAUAUAAGAUGUAUUACAAUUUUUUUAAAGUCAAACAGUUUUAAGGUUGAUCAAAUUUGUAGAGAAAUACAUCAAAAUUCAUAAUAACAAAUCGGUAUAAUUAGAUUCAUCAUGAAAUGAAUUUCCCUUUUUUUUGCUUAAUAUUGUGGUUGUUGACAUUUUUGGCUCUAACUUUGUCAAAGUUAAAGGAAUUUGACUUUUCGAAAAAUAAUAGUGUUCUAUUUUUUUUUAUUGUUUGAUGAUUUGAUGGGCCUUUCUCGAUGUGAUUCUGUGUUAUCCGCUAGAAUUACAUAUUUAUGUGGGGAAAUUUCUGCGUCGGUAGCUGCAUGUACUAUAUUGGUGCUACAGUGUCAUAUGGUGUGGUGUUUCUUUAUGUUUUUAUAAGCCGGUUGCUGCUGAUUGAUUUGAAAAAGUAUUGACUCCAUAAUUUAAUACCUCAAUCGAAUUGAAGAGUUUUAAAAUUAGGGAACAAUAAUGACUCAAAAUAAUUGAAUAAGAGAGCUCCUUGAGCAGUUGUUGACCUAGUCAAAAUUGAGUGACUCGAUUUAAAUUGAAGACCUCAAUUAAUUGGGAGGCCUUAAAAAUUGGGAAGCAUAGUGUAUAGUAUUAAAAAAUUAAAUGAGAGAGUUUUGAUAAAUUGUUGACCCAUUCAAAAUCAGGUGAUCCAAUUUCAGUUGGAUAUCUCAAUUGAUUGUGAGCCCUUUAAAAUUUAGGAGCUUAGUGUUAUCAAUUCUUUGAACGAGGUCGACAAGCAUUGUCAGGCUUUCUUUUGAAAAGGAGAAGAUCAUGUCAAUAAGGGCCGCCGAAGUGGUGUCGGACAACUUCCUCUCAUUUCCUUCCUAUUUCUAGGCGGCUAGGCCAAACUUUUUCCUCCAGACUUUACCGGCAAGCCUAUGAAUUUCCCUCCCAUCCGCUUGCCGAUCCGAUGGCCAAUGGCUGGAAGGAAAAUUCCGAUGCCUCAGUUAGUAGUUUAGGCUAGAAUUUUUUAGCCUCAUAAAACUGCCCGGCUGUCAUCAACAAGGCCAAGCCAACUCCUAUUAAGAAGAGUGAUAAUCUCGAUGUAAUUUCUACUCCCUCCGUCCCAUAAUGUAAAACGUUUUUUCACACUACACUAGGGACGGAGGGAGUAUUAUGUAUGAGAUGCUAUGUGCUUCCGAUGAACUUUUAUAAUAGAUCUGAUCUUUUUCGCAAAAAAUAAAGCAUCGGGGCCGUCACACGGAGAUGAGCUGAUGUAAUUUUCUCAUAUUUCCCCUUUCUUUUCUCCCUGGCUUGUCCUUGCAAUUUAUUUGCUCUUAUUAGUACGGUCCAAAGAAAGAACUAGUAGUACAUGUUGAGUGGUAAGUACCCACCAACGAUAGUUUCUUUCUUGCUUUGUUUCCAAGCUGAUAAUCAUGAGGGACCAGAUUAAAAUGACCAAGCAAAUCCAGAGAUUGGCCAAACAAAACAUACACCUAACAUUAGGUUAUCUUCCAUGUCCACAAUGCCAUCCACAAGGCUUCAAAUGUAAGUUCUUCCGGUGUCACUGGAGCGAAUCAGUUUACAAUAUGUUUAAGUGACCAAUUAAAAACAUGAGACAAGCUUCAUGGACCGGAAACUUUUCUUCUUCGAGGCAGUAAACUGUCAACGGGCAACUUAC